rnacentral:lncRNA from 1 species
UGUCGUCAAUUUUAAGUCAAACCAGAAGCCGGGGAACUUCUUGGUUUCUUUUAGAUAGAAACUAAAAAAGAUGAAACGGCUGAGAGAAGCAAAACAAUCGGCUAACGAUUAUGUGAUCGGUCAAUAUCAUGUUAGCAUUUAUUAGUUUCAUCAUCAUCUUUUCUGUGGAGGUCUGCUAACUAUUAUGUGAUCAGACGGUCAAGAUCAUGUUAGCAUUUAUAGUUUCAUCAUCAACCUUUCUGUGGAGAGGAAAUAAUUCAAUAUACUUAUUUACAAUUUGAACACACACAAAAAAAAAGGACUCUCUAAAGUGUUGAAG